GCUAGUACCAUUUAGUCAAGACUGAAGAAGCACUUCUUUCAUCUAAAUCCACUGCUUAGCUUGAGUGUAAAAGGCGGUUUUUGAAUUUCUGGAGUUAGGAGUGAAAUCCACUGAUAUCAGAAAGACUUUCGAAGGCGAAAGCAUUUGCCGAUUUUACUCUGACGUUCAGGCACGAAAGCGUAGGGAGAAAGGGGAUUAGAGACCCCCGUAGUCUACGCCUUAAACUAUGAGUGUUCAACGUCUUUAGAUUUUUGGUUAAGAUCAUCUUGCCAAAAUCUAGUGGGGGUUUAAAGCUAACGCGUGAAACACCGCCUGGGGAAUGUGGCCGCAAGGUUAAACUCAAAGGAAUUGACGGAGGCUCAUACAAGGAGUGGAGAUGUGGUUUAAUUCGAGA
rnacentral:rRNA from 1 species